rnacentral:rRNA from 1 species
AGUGAACGCUGGCGGUAGGCCUAACACAUGCAAGUCGAACGGCAGCACAGUAAGAGCUUGCUCUUACGGGUGGCGAGUGGCGGACGGGUGAGGAAUACAUCGGAAUCUACUUUUUCGUGGGGGAUAACGUAGGGAAACUUACGCUAAUACCGCAUACGACCUACGGGUGAAAGCAGGGGAUCUUCGGACCUUGCGCGAUUGAAUGAGCCGAUGUCGGAUUAGCUAGUUGGCGGGGUAAAGGCCCACCAAGGCGACGAUCCGUAGCUGGUCUGAGAGGAUGAUCAGCCACACUGGAACUGAGACACGGUCCAGACUCCUACGGGAGGCAGCAGUGGGGAAUAUUGGACAAUGGGCGAAAGCCUGAUCCAGCCAUACCGCGUGGGUGAAGAAGGCCUUCGGGUUGUAAAGCCCUUUUGUUGGGAAAGAAAAGCAGCAGGUUAAUACCCCGCUGUCCUGACGGUACCCAAAGAAUAAGCACCGGCUAACUUCGUG